rnacentral:tRNA from 1 species
GGUCGUAGCUCAGUGGUAGAGCACUUGCCUAGCAUGUGUGAAGCACUAUGUUCAAUUCUCAGCACCA